rnacentral:rRNA from 1 species
UACGGGGGGAGCAAGCGUUGUUCGGAUUUACUGGGCGUAAAGGGCGCGUAGGCGGCCUCCGCAAGUCAGUUGUGAAAUCUCCGAGCUUAACUCGGAAAGGUCAACUGAUACUGCGGGGCUAGAGUGCGGAAGGGGCAACUGGAAUUCUUGGUGUAGCGGUGAAAUGCGUAGAUAUCAAGAGGAACACCUGCGGCGAAGGCGGGUUGCUGAGCCGACACUGACGCUGAGGCGCGAAAGCUAGGGGAGCGAACGGG